UUUUAUCUUUUCAGAGUUGAAGUCGGUGAAGACAUUUCAUGAUUGAAACACCAGAUCCUGAAAGGCGUUAAAUCUACUUUGAAAUCAAUCUGCAAUCAAUAUUUCAAAGCUUUUCUGACACGUCACCUUCACUUUGGGAUGUGGAAUUUGCUAAGCAGUUAGCCACAGUAAAUGAACAACCCCUUCAGAAUGGGUUUGAAGAGCUGAUCCUGUGGACAAAAGAGGGGAAACUGUGGGAGUUCCCAAUUAACCAUGAAGCAGGUCUGGACACUAGGAAGUCCAAGAUGAAGGCACUGGCAGGUCCAUUUAUCUGGUGAGGGUCUAGUCUGUGCUUCCAAGAUGGCGCCUUGACUGUUGCAUCCUUGAGGAGUGGGGGAAGAAUGCUGUGUCCUCAUAACAGAAGGCAGAAGAAAAAAGAGGGAUGAACUCCCUCUUUCAAGCCCUUUUAUAAGGGCAUCUAAUCCCAUUCACAAGAUAGGAGCCCUCGUGGCCUAAUCACCUUUUAAAGGCCCCACCUCUUAAUACCAUCACAUUAGCAACACCUAAGUUUUGGAGGAGACACAUUCAAACCAUAGCAGGUAUAAAA